UACGGAGGGUGCAAACGUUGUCCGGAAUCACUGGGCGUAAAGCGCAUGUAGGUGGUUUAGUAAGUGAACGAUUAAAGACCGACGCCUAACGUCGGGAAGGUUGUUCAUACUGCUAAACUGGAGUAUGGCAGGGGUAAGCGGAACUUUAGGUGUAGGAGUGAAAUCCGUAGAUAUCUAAAGGAACACCAAUGGCGAAGGCAGCUUACUGGGCCAUUACUGACACUGAGAUGCGAAAGUGUGGGGAGCAAACGGG
rnacentral:rRNA from 1 species